rnacentral:misc_RNA from 1 species
CACAGACGUGACCGAGGCGGUCCCUGCAUUGGCUGGGAACGGUCAUGACUGCGGGCUGCGGCCACGGCAACACGGCUCGUAUGAUCUGUGCCUCACUGCCGGCACUGGUAGACAGCUGGCGCAGCCUGCGGGCAAACAGGGUCGGCGGUCCAGAGACGUCUCUCCCCAUCUCAGCCGCAGCGUCGGCCCCGUGGACUUCGGAAUGGGUGGCGGUUGCGGCGUGGUUACUCCCCGGAUGAAGUAAUGUGUGCACAGGGCCGGCGGUCCAGAGACGUCUCUCCGUCACAGCCGCAGCACCUGCCCCGGACCCGGUUGCUGUCGGGACUCGGCUCCAUCCCUUUCGUAACACGGGACUCGGCUUCUGUCUGGACCCGACUCCAUCCCCGUUCUAACGGGCGGGACAGUCUGCCCUCUCUCCGUCCCUCCGUCUCUCUUCAGGCAGACAGGUGAGUGCUGCUCAGUCUGUCGUGU